rfam:Streptosporangium roseum DSM 43021, complete genome.
GGACGAUUAGCUCAGCGGGAGAGCGCUUCCCUGACACGGAAGAGGUCACAGGUUCAAUCCCUGUAUCGUCCA